CCUACGGGUGGCAGCAGUGAGGAAUAUUGGUCAAUGGGCGGGAGCCUGAACCAGCCAAGUCGCGUGAAGGAUGAAUGUACUUCGUGUUGUAAACUUCUUUUGUCGAGGAACAAAGUCAGGGACGUGUCCCUGUUUGAGUGUACUUGAUGAAUAAGCAUCGGCUAACUCCGUGCCAGCAGCCGCGGUAAUACGGAGGAUCCGAGCGUUAUCCGGAUUUAUUGGGUUUAAAGGGUGCGUAGGUGGGUUGUUAAGUCAGCGGUAAAAUGUCGGGGCUCAACCCGGGCCGGCCGUUGAAACUGGGGAUCUGGAGUGGGAGAGAAGUAUGCGGAAUGCGUGGUGUAGCGGUGAAAUGCAUAGAUAUCACGCAGAACUCCGAUUGCGAAGGCAGCAUACCGGCUCCCUACUGACGCUGAGGCACGAAAGCGUGGGGAUCGAACAGGAUUAGAUACCCCAGUAGUC
rnacentral:rRNA from 1 species